rnacentral:rRNA from 1 species
UACGAAGGGGGCUAGCGUUGUUCGGAAUUACUGGGCGUAAAGCGCGUGUAGGCGGGUCUUUAAGUCAGGGGUGAAAUGCCAGGGCUCAACCUUGGAACUGCCUUUGAUACUGGAGACCUUGAGUCCGGGAGAGGUGAGUGGAACUGCGAGUGUAGAGGUGAAAUUCGUAGAUAUUCGCAAGAACACCAGUGGCGAAGGCGGCUCACUGGCCCGGUACCGACGCUGAGGCACGAAAGCGUGGGGAGCAAACAGG